ensembl:lncRNA
AAACCCUUUGGCAUUCUCUCAGUGUGCUUCGUGAUGUAGUCGCCUGAAAUGGUUUUCACUUCACAGGUGUGCCUUGUCAGGGUUCAGUUGUGGAAUUUCUUGCCUUCCUAAUGGGAUUGGUACCAUUAGUUGUGUUGUGCAGAAGUCAGGUUGGUACACAGCUGAUAACUGUUAAAAUUCAAAUGGCAAGAACCAGAGUCCAUUAUUACUUUAAAAACUGAAGGUCAGUCAGUCUGGAAAAUUGCAAAAACUUUGAACUGCGCGAAUCAGCUUGUAUGGUCAAAUAGCUACUAAGAAACCACUACUAAGGACAAGUAAAAAGCAGGAGAGAUGUUUUUCUACUAAGAAACACAAUGAAUGGACAUUAGAUCAGUGGAAAUCUUUGGUUUGAUAAGACAAAUUUGAGGUCUUUGGUCCCACCUGCCGUGUCUUUGUGCAAUGCAGGAAAGAUGAACAAAUGGUCUCUACAUGCGUAGUUCACACUGUGAAGCAUGGAGGAGGAGGUGUUAUGGUGUGUUGGUGCUUGGCUGGUGACACUGUUGGGGAUUUAUUCAAAAUUGAAGACGCACUGAACAAGCAUGGCUACCACAGCAUCUUGCAGCAACAUGCCAUCCAGUUUGCAUUUUGUUGGACCAUCAUUUAUUUUUCAACAGGACAAUGACUCCAAACACACCUCAAGGCUGCGUAAGAGCUAUUUGACCAAGAAGGAAAGUGAUGGAGUGCUACGCCAGAUAGCCUGGCCUCCACAAUCACCUGACCUAAACCCAGUCGAGAUGGUUUGGGAUGAGAUGGAAAACAAGGUGAAGCCAAAGGACCAACAAGUACUCGGCAUCUCUGGGAACUCCUCUCUGGGAAGACUGUUGGAAAACCAUUUCACGUGACUACCUCAUUAAGUUCAUUGAGAGAAUGCCACGAGUGUGCAAAACAGUAAUCAAAGCAAAGGGUGGCAAUUUCGAAGAAUCUAAAAUAUAAAACAUGUUUUGAAUUAUUUCACACUUUUUUGUUUACUACAUAAUUCAAUGUGUUCACUCGUAUGCCUUCAGUGAGAAUAUACAAUGUAAAUAGUUGUGAAAAUGAAGAAAAACCAUUAAAUGAUAUGUGUGAUGAUGUUUCUGAACACUCAGUGUCACAGGAGCCCGGAGGCUAAUGUGAGAACUACGACCCAAAAGCCGAUUCAAGCACAGGGGAAAGUCAUGAGAUUUUAACAAGGAGCAUGAAACAAGGAGAACUGUUAUCAACGUGAGGUUAGCUGAUGAAAUGACAAAGGAGAGAAGAUGAUGCUUACCUAAAAUAUGUCUUCUGAUUGUUUCGGGAUCAAGAAUAGGUGAACUGAGCAGGUGGCAUGAUGAGGGCUCUGCCCCAGGGCGGAUAUGAGAGGAACACAGGGUGGGCAUAGAAAAAACACCGGACUUCACCCGGACCAUGCCACUCAGGUUGGUACUUAUAUAGCACCUUUUUAGUCAGUUGAGCAUUCAAAACACUUUCAUGCUGCAAGAUUCAAUCACCCAGUCACACAUACAUGCAUUCAGAGACUUUUUCUAUUACUGAGUGCUUAUCAAGUAAUUUCACAAAAUAAUUUCUUAGUGUUAAAGUCAUGAAUAAUCAAAUUUUAAUGAUUUCUUUCAGUACAGAGGACCUUAUAUCUCCAUGGUUACACACACAGAAAUGAAGAUUUUUCAAAACAGACAGAUAUAUGACUAUAUAAUGUUUCCUCUUGCAGGACUGUUGAAUGCUGGUGGUGUGACAUUAUCUUAAUUUGAGUGGCUAAAGACUCUAAAUCUCAAUAACUGUGAAAAACUGAUGUUCUGAAAGAAAGUGUGCUGCAGUCCUGCUAGAAUCAAAACACCAUAAAUGUAAUUUUAUGUUUGCAAUUGUUGUGUCCUGUAAUGAUUAUACCAUAUUGCACCACUAUAGGGUGGUGCAAUAUGAGAGUAAUAAGAGAGUAAUAAGAAAAUAAGACAGUAAAGUGCAGUCGGGAAAAUGUAAAGUUAGAAUAUGUUUAAGAUGGUUAACUGAUAGCUUGAUGUGUCACCCUGUUACCUCUACGAUGUGAAGUUACGUGCUGCAUUCAUUAAAGAGCACUGUUCCUUGAUGAGGACUGAUUUAUUACCAGCUGCUGCUACAGUAAUCAUAAUAUAUUUUCUUUUCCUGACACCAGUCUAAAACAUAUGUAUGUAAUGAAUAACAGAAAGAAGUAUUGCAAAUCAGAAUAAAUAUCCAGUAAUUUUUAAACACAAGAAAAAACCUUUUAUAAUCACUUAUUAAGAGUUCAAAUACCCAUAAUGAUUUCUCCCCAUCUAAUGUACUUCAAUAACAGAAAACUGAGGCUCUGUCUUUCCCUGCUUAUUUGAUUUUACUUAGACUGUUUCUGUUUGUCCUGAUCUUCUGUUUCAGAAUCAGGUUCUUUAACUUUCAAUUGCGCCAAUGUUUUCCACACCUGUUCUUAUCUUCUCCUAUUUGCACUUUGUUUAAUUGUGUCAAACCUGUUCUCAAAUGCAUAAAGGAUUUCUUCUCUACCUUGAAUCACAAUCUUUCCACUGUCAAAUAUAGACACAGUACCUCCAUCAGAGAGCUCAAGUUUGAGUUUGUUGUCCAUUCGAAUAGCCCUGGAUGUAGGGUAAGCUUCUUCUAUUGCAGCCCUGUAGUCUUCUCCAGAGUGGGUGAAGAAAAUGAGGUUGCAUCUUAUACCAGUUUGAUAUGUGUCUUCAUAGAGAAUCUCUGGGUUUUUUCCAUCAGAGUUUCGCGUUUGAAUAUUUUCUUUUCCUCAUCGUUCAUUCCUUUAGGUUAGUCAAAACGACGAGCAGACAUCUAAAAAACAUAAAACAAUUAUUAUUUUUAUGCUUACAAACUAUAUAAUAAAUUCAGCACUUAUAGAUGUGAUGUGGUGAUAAAAAUUUACCUUCAAUGUUUCUGGUUUUGUUGUAAAUUGAGUUCUACUCAACUUCCAGAUGAAAAGGUGUAUUUUCCUCACACAGCUCUGAGUUCCUGUAAGUCUCAAAUUGAUUGAUUGUGUUCUUAAGCUGAGGAUGAAGUAAUCAAAAGCUUUUAUAAUAAUUAAAGACAAUUGUUUCCGCUGUGGCAGCUCAGACGUAAGUCUUCUGUACUCUGGGUGCACAAUGUCCGUCUUCUUUUCAGAUCUUUUAAAUAUCUCAAAAAGUGACAGAAAAAGGCAGGAAUGUGUUACCCACACAGGGGUCAAUCAGUUUCUUGUGUAGUUUUUCCAGAGACUCUGGAGUGUCUCCAGUUUUUGGGCUGUUUUUGUUAGGACAGAUUGACACACACAAACACAACACACACACAGACACACUUUCCGUCCUAUUGGAACAUUCAGUGCUUUCCUGUAUUACACAAUAUCUCUAAACAGCACUCUACUGCACUUCCUUUUUCUAUCAGCUCAUAUUUAAGUACUUUCUUAUUCAUAACAUUGAUUAAGUUUAUAUCACACUGUAAUUAUAUAUGAUUCAAAUUAUGCAUGAAUGAAAAAGUCUGGAGACAAGUUUUUGUUUCACCCUUUAAUCCUCAAACAACAAUAAGUUAAGACAAUUGUCUCCGCUGCUCUUCUAAGGCGUGGCAGCUCAGAUGUAAAUCCUUCCAAAUGUCUUCUGUACACCCAGAGUACAAUGUCCGCCUUUUUUUCAGAUCUUUUACAUAUUUGAAAAAGUGACAGAAAAAGGCAGGAAUGUGUUACCCACACAGGGGUACACGGUGAAGUCAUUGCUCUCAUCCAAUAAAACGUCCAGCUCAAAAAAACACUAUUAUGAUUUAGUUUGCUUUUUGUAUUAAAUUUGAUGAUGAGAUUUACUUUAUUUGUUGGCCUUAUGUGGUUGUUGCUGCCAAGUUUGAGUUUGUUGGCCAUUUGUGUAGGUUUCGAUUUGGGCUGUCUCGAAAACAAAAACGUCAGGAUUUUCAUUCAUAGCUUCAGUUUGAGUCAUUUCCUUUCCACAUCUGUUGUUGCUUUUGGGUAGUCAAAACAAUGAGCAGGCAUCUAAAAGUAAAGCAUAAAACAAAAUGAUUAUUUAUGUGAAAUUUUAUGCAACUGAUACAUGAUUUUAUGUGUGUGUGUGUGUGUGUGUGUGUGUGUGUGUGUGUGUGUGUGUGUAUGAUGUGGGGAAGUACCUGUUUUUUUUUUUUCUUGCACAGGCAAAUUCAGGCUCUAGAUUCCUGCUCAUUAUUCUUUGACGUCACCACCCGAUAGACUUCAUUACAACCUCUGGGGCCAUCACAGGGCAGUUGUGGAGCUGUUUUGCAAAGAAGAAUGGGCAAGGAUUUCAGUCUCUAGAUGUGCAAAGCUCGUAGAGACAUACCCUAAAAGACUGGCAGCUGUAAUUGCAGCAAAAGGUGGUUCUACAAAGUAUUGACUCAGGGGGCUGAAUAAUUACGCACACCCCACUUUGCAGUUAUUUAUUUGUAAAAAAUGUUUGGAAUCAUGCAUGAUUUUUGUUCCACUUCUCACGUGUUCACCACUUUGUAUUGUUCUUUCACGUGGAAUUCCAAUAAAAUUGAUUCAUGUUUGUGGCUGUAAUGUGACAAAAUGUGGAAAAGUUCAAGGGGGCCGAAUACUUUUGCAAGCCACUGUAUAUAGGCCUAUAGAUUCAUGUUUGAGCAGUGUCAUUUGGCUCAACCAGUUAGUAGCUAGAAGAACUGGUAAGAGCCAUUAAUAGAUGUAAUACUUAUUUAAAAGUUUUAAACAAAGGGAAUGUCCACAGGUUAGACUUUUGUAUGCAUAAUAUUUUAUUUAUAUAACUUAGCAAAGGCAAAGCAAAAUCAAUAAAAUAUAAAAUAAUAUCUCAUGUUUUAUCUUAACCUAACUGAUCUGCAGGACAUGUACCUGAAUGCUGAUGUUGUGACAUCUUAAUUUGAGUGGCUGAAGAUUAAAUCUCAUUCAUCUCUGUGGAAAACUGACCUUCAGAUAUGAGACGGACCUCAGUGGGUACAAAACUAUAAUUCUUCAAACCUACAGACUGAAAGACAUUCAUAUUUGUAAUAUAUAAUAUAACAUACUUACUUUUUCAUGACAUCAUUGUAAAACAAUAAUAUAUCUAAUGAACAGCAGAAUUUAGAAGAGAAUAAAGAUUAUAAAAGUAUUGAAAAUCAGGCUAAAAUAUCUAGUAAUUUUUAAACACACAGAACAAAAACUUUAAUAUUCACUUAUUAACAGUUCAAAUGCCCAUAUUGUUUUGCUGUUUCCUGCUUUUUCUUAUUUGUAUCACAUUUUAUUUAGACUGUUUCUGUUUGUCUCGUCCUUCUGUUUCAGAAUCAGAUUCUUCAACUUUCAUUUGCUGUAAUGUUUUCAUCAUCUGUUCUUCUUUUCUUGCGUCUACAUCUUGUUGAAUUUUGUUAAACAUUUUCUCAAAUGCAUCAAGGUUUUCUUCUGUACCUUGAAUUAAAAUCUUUCCACUGGGAAAUAUGGACACAGUGCCUCCAUCAGAGAGCUCAAGUUUGAGUUUGUUGGCCAUUUGAAUAUCCUUGGAUUGAGGGUACGCAUCUUCUAUUGCAGCCCUGUAGUCUGCUCCAGAUCGGGUGAAGAAAAUGAGGUUGCAUCUUAUACCAGUUUGAUAUGUGUCUUCAUAGAGAAUCUCUGGGUUUUUCAUCAGAGUUUUAUGUUUGAAUAUUUUCUUUUUUUCCUCAUCCUCCAUUCCUUUAGGGUAGUCAAAACGACGUGCAGGCAUCUAUAAAACAUAAAAGAAUUAUUUUUUUUACUCAAUUUAAUGUUCCACUGAUAAAUUAUAUAUCAAAUUCAGCACUUGUAGAUGUGAUGUGGUGAUAUACAUUUACCUUCAGUGUUUCUUGUUUGUUGUAAAUGGAGUUUUAGUCAACUUCCAGGUGAAAAGGUGUAUUUUCCUUACACAGCUCUUGCACUACUUGGUUCAGACUCCGAGUUCCUGUAAGUCUAAAAUGGAUUGAUUGUGUUCUUAAGCUGAGGAUGAAAAAGUAUUUAUGAAGUAAUCAAAAGCCUUUUUAAUAAAUGUUUUAAACUAUUAAAAGCUUCUUAAAUAUAUCGACUCUCAUGGACAAGUUUUCAUUUUACCCUUUAAUCCUUGAACAGCAAUAAGUAAAUUGUCUCCGCUGCUCUCCUAAGGCGUGGCAGCUCAGAUAUAAAUCCUUCCAAACAUCUUCUGUUCUCUGGGUGUACAACGUCCGUCUUCUUUUCAGAUUUUCAGAUCUCAAAAAGUGAUAGAAAAAGGCAGGAAUGUGGUGCCCACACAGGGGUACACGGUGAUGAUGGUAAAUCAGCGUCUUGUGUAGUUUUUCCGGAGACUCUGGAGUGUCUCCAGAUUUUCAGGCUGUUUUUUGUUAGUACAGUUUGACACACACAAACACAACACACACACAGACACUCACACUUUCCGUCUUAUUGGAACAUUCAG